UACAGAGGUCCCGAGCGUUGUUCGGAUUCAUUGGGCGUAAAGGGUGCGUAGGUGGCGCCGUAAGUGGGGUGUGAAAUUUCGGAGCUUAACUCCGAAACUGCAUUCCAUACUGCGGUGCUUGAGGACUGGAGAGGAGACUGGAAUUUACGGUGUAGCAGUGAAAUGCGUAGAGAUCGUAAGGAAGACCAGUGGCGAAGGCGGGUCUCUGGACAGUUCCUGACACUGAGGCACGAAGGCCAGGGGAGCAAACGGG
rnacentral:rRNA from 1 species